rnacentral:lncRNA from 1 species
GCUCGACUGGAAGAAGGUGAUGACAAGCUCGAUUGGAAGAAGGUGAUGGCAGGCUUAACAAUAGAAGGAGGGCAAGGACUCAACAUCAUGAUGAAGACGGAGCAGGCUUAACGCUAUAUCGAAGGUAGAUCGAAAGGAGGAUGCUUGCUCAAGGAGGAGGCAGGAGGGCUGGGUUGUUACAAGGGCAAAAGAUUUGGUCAUCGCCA